CUCCAGGAGCUGCAAGCUGACAAACUAUUUUUUUGUCCUGAGCCCAGUUUAACACUGCGGUCAGUUUAACGAUCUGUUGACCCACAUCGGUACCGAUAUCUCCAGCCAGAACACCAACUACAGAUGGUCAAUUUCAGCUAAAGAGCUCCUGUCCAUCUGUUUCAGGUUAGAGGGCAAUAUUCAAGAAACCGUCAAGUGGAAAAAUGAGUCUCUCCGACUGGUUGACGCCACGUGUCGAGCAACAACAGUUCAAUUUUGAACUCCAGCGUCGGCUGCUUUGAACGCACUGCAUGCACGAAAAAUGCUCUGCCGCUACCUUCCGUUUCAUUGUGCACGGACUACAUGUGCCGCGAGACCCCUAGAGGCGCGCCCACCAUAGACUUUGCAUGUAAACUGGCUGCUCAUGCAGCUCAAAAUGCGUUCGGUGUGAACGUAACAUAAAGGCUGUGGGGCGCUAAAGGCUCUAAAGUUUUUGAGGCUUUAAAGGCUGCAAAGGAUGUGGGGUUUUAAAGGUUUGGGGGCUCUAAAGUCUAAAGUUUCUGAGCCUCUAAAUACUGCAAAGGUUGUGGGCCUCUAAAUGUUUGGGGUCCAUAAAGGUUCUAAAGGUUCUAAGGCUCUAAAGGUUCUGAGGUUCUAAAGACUCUAAGGCUCUAAAGGUUCUAAGGUUCUAAAGGUUCUAAGGCUCUAAAGGUUCUGAGGCUCUAAAGGCACUAAAGAUUCUGAGGCUCUAAAGGUUCUAAGGCUCUAAAGGUUCUGAGGCUCUAAAGGCACUAAAGAUUCUGAGGUUCUAAAGGUUCUAAGGCUCUAAAGGUUCUGAGGCUCUAAAGGCUCUAAAGGUUCUGAGGCUCUAAAGACUCUAAGGCUCUAAAGGUUCUAAGGUUCUAAAGGUUCUAAGGCUCUAAAGGUUCUGAGGCUCUAAAGGCACUAAAGAUUCUGAGGCUCUAAAGGUUCUAAGGCUCUAAAGGUUCUGAGGCUCUAAAGGUUCUAAGGUUCUAAAGGUUCUAAGGCUCUAAAGGUUCUGAGGCUCUAAAGACUCUAAGGCUCUAAAGGUUCUAAGGUUCUAAAGGUUCUAAGGCUCUAAAGGUUCUGAGGCUCUAAAGGCACUAAAGAUUCUGAGGCUCUAAAGGUUCUAAGGCUCUAAAGGUUCUGAGGCUCUAAAGGUUCUAAGGUUCUAAAGGUUCUAAGGCUCUAAAGGUUCUGAGGCUCUAAAGACUCUAAGGCUCUAAAGGUUCUAAGGUUCUAAAGGUUCUAAGGCUCUAAAGGUUCUGAGGCUCUAAAGGCACUAAAGAUUCUGAGGCUCUAAAUGUUCUGAGGCUCUAAAGGCACUAAAGAUUCUGAGGCUCUAAAUGUUCUGAGGCUCUAAAGGUUCUGAGGCUCUAAAGGCACUAAAGGUUCUGAGGCACUAAAGGUUCUGAGGCUCUAAAGGCACUAAAGGUUCUGAAGCUCUAAAGGUUCUGAGGCUCUAAAGGUUCUGAGGCUCUAAAGACUAAAGGUUCUGAGGCUCUAAAAGUUCUAAAGAUUCUGAGGCUCUAAAGGUUCUGAGACUCUAAAGGCACUAAAGGUUCUGAGGCUCUAAAGUUUCUGAGGCUCUAAAGGUUCUGAGGCUCUAAAGACUCUAAAGUUUCUGAGGCUCUAAAGACUCUAAAGGUUCUGAGGCUCUAAAGGCACUAAAAGUUCUGAGGCUCUAAAGGCUCUAAAGGUUCUGAGGCUCUGAAGGUUCAGGGGCUCUAAAGGUUCAGAGGCUCUAAAGGCACUAAAAGUUCUGAGGCUCUAAAGGCACUAAAAGUUCUGAGGCUCUAAAGGCUCUAAAUGUUCUAAGGCUCUAAAGGUUCUGAGGCUCUAAAGGUUCAGAGGCUCUAAAGGCUCUGAGGCUCUGAAGGUUCAGGGGCAUGUGUGCUCAUAUCUUUGUAGGAGCGUUAAUGUGCUGCAGUCCAGAACCAACACGUCCUUGUCCACACAGGACCCAGUAAGGACAUCCUUCAGAACGUCCCCCUGAGACAGGAUUUGGACUGACGAGCGAGUGGCGUUAACGGAGAGCAGAACAAAUCCCCCGACUCGUCUGGAGAGGCUCCCACGCUCAUUAAUUCACUUCAAGGAGAGGAAAUGAAUAAUAAACACCACUUUCAAGGUUCUGAGUCUCUGAGCUCAGAUCCUCCCACCCAGAACCACUCAGACCCAGAUCAGACCUGGGUUUGCUCAGAGAGGACCCAGGUCGCUCUUUGA